UAACGAUGUAAAUUUUAAAUCUCGAUCGGUAUAUAAACUCACGAAUCCGCGUAGGAAAUUAUCGCCAAAACUCGGCGAAACGAAUUUUUUUUUUUUGAUCGGUCGUUACAAACAUUAUUAACGCGGUCGUCAGUAAAGAACAAAGACGAACUUAGUAAUUAACGUAAUAUAACAAAUUGUCACUAAAAUAACUUACGACCGAUUCGCAACUUCUUCUCCGGUACGCGUUUAGUACCGACUUCUUACUUACCAAGUCUUCUUCUUUAGUCAUAAUAUAUAGUCGGAGGUAAUUAAAUACUCGUUCUAUUGGUUUUUCUCCGAUUUCGAGCGAAUACGCCUAACAGGUUUUUCGAAUGAUCCGGAUACAAUCUGCCGUUGUAAUGUGUGCACGAUACGUGACCGAUCUGAAAACAGACAAAAAAAAAAAAAAAAAAAACCCUUCUCCAAUUAUCGGACUGUAGACGAUACGUAAUCAACGGUAUGGCGUACACGGUUAUACAACGAAUGUCCGCAGUUUAUCGCGUGUAAUCAAUAUCAAUUGGUAAUCAUCGUACUUGAUAAUUAUUGUCCGUAGUGCGGCCGUAAAAAAAAAAAAAAAAACUUUUACGCGGUAUAAAACAAAAAAAAUUAAGUCAUUUUAUAGUUUACCUUUUACGCUUUUCCGUCGACCCUGCAUUAGUAAUUCAUCAACACUUGUCCUGUUCUUUCCCGCUAUCAAUUGGCUUACUUGUUUUUGUUUUUUUUUUGUUUUUCGACGAUAGCGGAAACGAUACGUCAAUACGAACGAUUAUCGUUAUCGUUCGAUACCGGGUAUACCGCCAUUUCGGAAAACGGAAAGUGACUUCUGAUUUUUGUUUUGUCCCUUUCAUAAAAAAACAAAAAAAAAAAACGCGUAC